rnacentral:rRNA from 1 species
UACGUAGGGUGCGAGCGUUAAUCGGAAUUACUGGGCGUAAAGGGUGCGCAGGCGGUUAUAUAAGACAGAUGUGAAAUCCCCGGGCUCAACCUGGGAACUGCGUUUGUGACUGUAUGACUAGAGUACGGUAGAGAGGGGUGGAAUUCCUGGUGUAGCAGUGAAAUGCGUAGAUAUCAGGAGGAACAUCGAUGGCGAAGGCAGCCCCUUGGACCUGUACUGACGCUCAUGUACGAAAGCGUGGGGAGCAAACAGG